CAACUGGGGAUUGAACCCACAACCUGGGAGUAAAUGAAAUGUUCUAAAUUUAGAUAGUGAUGUUGGUUUUACAAGUCUGAUAUACAAAAAACCACUGAACUGGACACUAAAGAGAUGAAUUUCAUGUUGGCAGGAAAGAUUAUUGGUGGCCGAGCCAGAGGCCUGGAGAAGAAAAAGCACCAGGUUUGAGCAGCCAGUAAUUCCUGUCUGGCUAGAGACACAAGAAAAGAAGCAGUCCAAAUUUUAGUUAAGAAACUACAAGGGAGGUUGCUCCAUUUGAAACAAAACAGGAAGAAAACAGUUCCAUCUUUGGCUGCCACAGCCAGGCUCUGUCCACUCUGGAAAGACUACUGUGAAAGCCUAAGGUGGUCCUCAUGCUUCAUUCACACAAUUACUCUGCCCUACGUUCACACAGUUCUAACGCCACAAACCUGCUCACACCUACCUGCCCAGCUUCAUUUCUUCUCUCCUUCAUUCAACAAAUAUUUACCAAGCACUUACUUUUUGCCAGGUAUAGCGCCAGCACUGGAUAUGGCAGCGAGUAAGUAAACUAUGCUUCUCAAUAUAUGUCGUAGUAUCCAAUGUUGAGUUGAAGGAUUUCUAUUGGACUGUUUGUCGCGUGGACCCUAAGAAAGAAGAUACCUACAAAAAAAAGGCCCCCAGUGGCUACCUGGGCUCAAAGUAAAAACAAACAGAAGAACACCAGAACCUAGGAGCCAUUCCUACCCAGGGGCCUCCCUUACAAACUGCGCUUCAGGGAGAAGUCUGCACUGAACUGCCUGCCUGCGCUGUAUUUCUGCCAGCUGAGCCAAUCCUCAUAAAGGAGUCCUGGAAUCCUAUUUCAACCAGUAGGACUGAGGCUUUCCCCGUUUAAUCAGAGCUUCAUACCUAUAUCCCAAUCAGCUUCUUCACUGACCAAAGUGACUCCGCUCUGAGCUAUCUGGACAGUGCCUUUCUGACCAAUCAAACUGUGUGGAUUUGGAUUCUUCAUUUGCAUGAGGACAGACCAAUCAGGGAGCAGGGCGGGGACCUCUGUCUAUAUAAGUCAGCUCUCCUCUCUGAGGGUGCACUUUCCCUUUUCACUAAAGAGUGUUUCCCUGCU